rnacentral:rRNA from 1 species
GAUUUUCGCAAUGCCCGAAAGGGUGACGAAGCGACGCCGCGUGCGGGAAGAAGGCCUUCGGGUUGUAAACCGCUGUCGGGAGUUAAGAAAUGUAAGGAUGUUAAUAGCAUCUUUGCUUGACUAAGGCUCCGGAGGAAGCCACGGCUAACUCUGUGCCAGCAGCCGCGGUAAUACAGAGGCGGCAAGCGUUGUUCGGAAUUAUUGGGCGUAAAGAGCACGUAGGCGGCUAUGUAAGUCGGUUGUGAAAGCCUUCCGCUCAACGGGAGAACAGCAUCCGAUACUGCAUGGCUUGAGUGCGGGAGGGGAGAGUGGAACUUCUGGUGGAGCGGUGAAAUGCGUAGAUAUCAGAAGGAACGCCGGCGGCGAAGGCGGCUCUCUGGCCCAUAACUGACGCUGAGUGUGCGAAAGCUAGGGGAGCAAACGGGAUUAGAUACCCCGGUAGUCCUAGCCGUAAACGAUGGGCACUAAGUAGAGGGGUUUUAAUC